rnacentral:rRNA from 1 species
UACGAAGGGGGCUAGCGUUGUUCGGAAUUACUGGGCGUAAAGGGCGCGCAGGCGGCCGCUCAAGUCAGGUGUGAAAGCCCCGGGCUCAACCUGGGAACUGCACUUGAUACUGAGUGGCUAGAGUUCGGGAGAGGAGAGUGGAAUUCCCAGUGUAGAGGUGAAAUUCGUAGAUAUUGGGAAGAACACCGGUGGCGAAGGCGGCUCUCUGGACCGAUACUGACGCUGAGGUGCGAAAGCCGGUGGGGAGCAAACAGGGAU